UACGUACGAGGCGAGCGUUAUCCGGAAUUACUGGGCGUAAAGCGCGCGCAGGCGGACCAUUAAGUUGGGCGUGAAAUCUCCCGGCCUAACUGGGAGGGGUCGCCCAAGACUGGUGGUCUUGAGGACAGCAGAGGUGGGUGGAAUUCCUGGAGUAGUGGUGAAAUGCGUAGAGAUCAGGAGGAACACCGGUGGCGAAGGCGGCCCACUGGGCUGUCACUGACGCUGAGGCGCGAAAGCUCGGGGAGCGAACGGG
rnacentral:rRNA from 1 species